GCCGAUGUCGGCCAGGUGAACCCUCUGACGGCAACGGGGUUGGGGGAGGAGAGGGAGGUGGACCCGUCCGCCGGCUGCUAGAGUUUCCUCCUGGUUGCGCGCGGAGCGACCCGGGAGGAGUGGGGGGAGAUCCGUCUAUAGAUUAUGUCGUCAGUCAUGUAGUUGUACCUUUCGUAACUAAUAUAGAUUCUACACGUCUUAAAGCAUGAACUGAUGAAGUAAUUUGCUAAGAUGUUACAUGUUUCACCUUACAAGAUACAGAGAUGUAAGACUUAUAUAGAAGAAUAAUGGAAUUGGAUCCACACAUGUGCCAAACAAGCAGUACACACGGUAAUAUGAUCAUUCCAUAGAACUAGCCAGGGGCAACCACGGACGGGGCUGAUCCCUAGACUAGCAGCAACAAUUUGGGGACUCUCUUGAUUGUCCGGAUUGAUAGUUGGAAUGUGCACCCUCUAUCUUCCAUGUUUUCGUUUGAAGUUCCCACUAAUUAUGAUUUGUUUGAAAAAACGUUGCUCCUGAAAUUAUUUAAGGAUGUAGUCAAGGUUUCAUUUAUUCUUCACUCUUCUGAUUUGGUCCUCU
rnacentral:lncRNA from 1 species